UCUAGAUAAGGUGAACCCGAAAUGAAAUUAGCAAGUAUGUGUUUGACUUAUAUUAUGUGCUUUAGGAAGUAUGUGUUGAAGUUUUUUUUUCCUUACAGAUUCUUAUUGGUGUAGUGGAUGGUGAUCACUUCUUCAAUAUCCACAUUCAUGUAAAAGAGCGAGAGAUCUACAUACUAGAUUCUUUGGAUAAUGACAUUUCUCCAGAUCUUUAUUCAAAGCAUGUCUAUCCGGUGGUAAUGCAUAUUCAAUGUGGACAUGAAGUCUUGGAAACUUUUUAUUGUAACGGGCCGGGGAAUGCGAGGCAGGACAAUGGGUAUCACUGUGGAGUUUAUAUGCUUAAGAGUUUAGAGUAUUGGACAAGAGGUGAAAAGCUACCUUUUACGAAGGUAUGUUUUGUUUUUUCUUUUUGAUAAGAACUUUCAAUGCUACCACUACAAGAAAUUGUACUAUUAACGACGGGAAAUCCCGUCGCGAAAGGCCAAUAAUCGUUGAUUAACGACGGGAUUUCCUGUCGCGAACCCGUCAUAAAAGGGGGCCGUCGUAAAUAGGAAUCCCGUCGUAAAUCCGUCGUAAGCCCGUCGUAAAAGACAUUUGCGACGGUUAUUCCCGUCCUUGUUUGGUUGUUAGCCCCGUCGCAAAAGGCUUUUGCGAUGGAAUUUUUGACCCGUCGUAAAUAGUUUGUCGUUAAAGAUACAUAUUCUUGUAGUGUACAUAAAUUACUAACAAAAUCUUGCAUAAGGCUAAUGCUACAAACGCAAAGCUUAUCAUUUUAUGGGAGGUUGUGCAUAGCAGCUUGGCUGUCAAGGAUUGCUUCCUAUAAGCGUGGGGUUUGUCUAGCUUGGUGACGUGGAUUUCCUGAUGAUGCACAACAUAACAGGAUUUAUGGUGAGAUCGCCUACGAGGAUACUAUGUGUUAAGAUCUCCCACAAUAUUUAUUUCUAUUAAAAAAGUAAGAAUGUGGUUCUUUAGUUUGGUAGGUAGGUUGAUUUUUGGUUGAAGAUGUUGUUUUGAUUUAUUCACACAAACUUGUAAAAUUUUAAGAAACCUAUUGUUUUGUGCUACUAAUCUUUUUAGGAUAAUAAUUUCUAAUUGACGUUUAAAUUAGAUUAUCAUAGUCUCCGUCCUGCAAAACAUUUCGACGUUUACUUCAUUUUCGGUUAUUCAAUUCCUAUUAACUUUGUCCGGUUAUUCACCUAUUCCUAUUCACUUUUUAAAGAUUCCUUUUUUUUUUCCUGUCUUACUUCUCCGGGAAUCCGUCUUUCUUUUUUUGUGGUUUCUUUUUUUGUCUCAUGUCUUUUUUGUUUUGUUUCUGUUACUUCCCCUCAUUGAUCUUGUCAUUCUAAAUCAUUAAAGAUACACCUUGUGUUCCAUGUUAGCAGGCUCAAACCCCAGACAGCGCGCAAGCACCUCAACUGAAGAUUGGAGCGACUCCACUUGUUAUUGCUUUCUUUAGUUUAUUUUGUAAUUUUGAAAGGGAUAUGACCAAUGAAAGGGUACAAUUCUUAACACUACAUUAUGAUGAGUGAAAUUACACAUUGAAUAUAUGGAACUGAUGUGAUC